CCGUGGACUGUUUUCCAGCUUCCAGGUGGUGGCUGUCAACACACAAGUAGGAAGCUGAUUAGUCUAAGGCUAAGCAGUACAUUUAUGGUCAUGUCCUGAAGGAGAAUCUGGAAGUUUCUCCUUCUUUCACUGUCCCGUGUGGAACCUAAAACUCUUCUGGGAUCAGUUAUGUAGGCUAAAUGCUGAAAGGCUGAAUGCCUUUCAACCAAGACUUGUUCCUUUCUUUCUCUGACCCUCUGUAUGAAAUAAGUGCAUCUGCUGCCAGAACAGGCUUGCACCACAAGAAGAGGUGAAAAUUCCACUCCCAGGGCACUCUCUCUUCUCAUUGAUGGCAUCAAAAGUGAGGUUUUGGCUGAAAUUUUGCUGAACACCCAUUAGCUUAUUUUCAGUGUUUUGUCAAAUGGCUGAUGGAAGACUAAUGUUCAAGUAAGCUAUGUAGCAUAACUUUAUUUCUACACUACAAAACUCGAUGCAAAUGAGUACUGAGAGAGCACUGCCUGCUUUGGAGUCAGAUUAAUCUUGCUGAAGUUCAUGCAGCAGAAAACCAGCAAGCAGAAUCAUUGUAGGAAAUCGAUUGCUUGAAGAGCUAAACCAGAAGAAGAACUUCACAUUGUGUGGGGAAGACUGGGUUAACAUGAUAAGCAUGCUUUGAGGACAUUUCUUCCUUAAGGACAUUAGGCUUACUUAAACAUGAAAGAUUUGGUGCUGUGUGGGGAAGUCUCGGUGUGUACAGGAGGUUGGUGCUUUGCAGUGCCCUAUUGACAAGUGAAAUGGUGCACAAGUCCUGAAGUUUAUUGCAAGUACAAACGAACAACUGUAGAGAGAUUAUUCAUUGCACCCUGCCACAGCUCAAGCACAGAAUUAAUUGGGUGCAGAUGCUGAGCAAAUGGUUUGAAUUCUGCUGCAGAGGAUGAUGCUAGUGACUGCUGACAUGGGGAAUAACCACUGUGUCUGCUGGAAUGAACAUUGCUUGAACAAAAGUUCAGACUGACGGGUUUUUGCCAUUUUGGAUCCACAUCAUUAGCAAGGUAGCUAGGCAAGGGGAUCUCGUAUGCCUGGGGCUGUGCCACAGUCACUUUGCUCGUAUCCUCUAGCUAUCAAAACUUGAAAGAGAAAGAGAAAAUGGCUUUUUUUCAGCAGUAUGUGAAGUGCUAUUUAUCCUAGAGGGAUUCUCUGGUGUUGACAUAUUGGCUUGAGAUCUUCAUCAAGACACAAUACUUCCCACAGCAGGCCUUAAUGAAAAAUAUUCCAAAGUUCAGUGACAGUGCCAAGUAACUGACAGAUGGAACAAAGUUCACCAAGAACUUUAUUAAGGAAGAGGACACCUGAGAUAUGAUUUAGGAGAGAUGCAGGUGAUGCUCUCUGCUUUGCAGGCAGAGAAAAAAAGAAAAAAGAGCAGAACUUCUACGUUUUCCAGAAGUGCCUUGAUGUAUCAGUCCUGAUUUACUGCACCUUACAAGAACUUAGAGGAAGGUUGGAGACAUUCUUUUCCCAGUGGGGAGUGCUGAAUGGAAUUGCUGUGGAGUUCUGCUUCAUCAGUACUCAGGAGAGUGAUGUUCACUACUGCUGGCUGAGAGAUGCUGCUCCUGCUUAAGAGGACACCAAAUUGACCGAGUAUAUUAAAGAAAGAAGAAAAAGAGAGAGAGAGAACGAAAACAGGACUUGGAUGAUAUUUCUCAGUGUCUGCCAAUAUCUAACAUGCUUUUGGAAAAGUUGUGUAACACAACCUACUAAGAGAGCCCUGUUUGAAUAGAGGCUAGUAAUUCUUUCUAUUUGGUGCUAUGUUUGUGGUUUUGCAGAACUGACCCACAGGGCCUCAUUUUUUGACUGGUGAAACAGGCUGUAUUUUUUCUUAAGUCUAUAAGGAUCAGGAAGUUGUCCUCUGAAUGCAUGCCUGACUAGAACUUGACAUCAGCUUACCAGCAGCUCUAUUAUUCUUAAGCCUAUAGGACACUUUGAGUGAUGAAAAACCUUGAAUGUUCUCUUUUGUGAAGGAGACUGUUUGCCUCCAGUGAUCAAACAUACAGGUAGAAUGUCAGGGAACUUGCAAUAUGAAGUGUUAUGUUUGAAAUUAUUUAAACAAGGACUGUUGCAAAAGGUUUUUUUUUCUGAUUUGCAAUGUUUUCUAUAUGAUUUCUUUAGAUAUUUUAAUCUACUCUGCAUGACAAGUUAAAAGCAGUGUUGCACAAUGAUUUUCAUUACAGAAAAGUGUCAACAACUUAAAUUUUCAAAUGAAGGAAUAUGACUUCUAA